UGCGCAAGUCAUUGGGACAUAAAGCGAAACCUACAGGCAAAAUGAAAGUGAAUACUGGCCCUUAUACUCGCUUCGGUGAGGAAGAAGUGUCAGUAUAGGGAGGAUAGGUUGGUCCAUGUGGCCGACCUCGCACUCCCAGGGCGUCUCGUGUUCAUUGCGAACUGAGGCGCACCUAGAGCGUACAUGCUGGGACCCGAAAGAUGGUGAACUAUGCCUGGUCAGGAUGAAGUCAGGGGAAACCCUGAUGGAGGUCCGUAGCGAUUCUGACGUGCAAAUCGAUCGUACGAACUGGGUAUAGGGGCGAAAGACCAAUCGAACCAUCUAGUAGCUCGUUCCUU
rnacentral:rRNA from 1 species